GAUGAACGCUGGCGGCGUGCCUAAUACAUGCGAGUCGAGCGAACAGACGAGGAGCUUGCUCCUUCGACGUUAGCGGCGGACGGGUGAGUAACACGUAGGUAACCUACCUAUAAGACUGGGAUAACUUCGGGAAACCGGAGCUAAUACCGGAUAAUAUUUCGAACCGCAUGGUUCGAUAGUGAAAGAUGGCUUUGCUAUCACUUAUAGAUGGACCUGCGCCGUAUUAGCUAGUUGGUAAGGUAACGGCUUACCAAGGCAACGAUACGUAGCCGACCUGAGAGGGUGAUCGGCCACACUGGAACUGAGACACGGUCCAGACUCCUACGGGAGGCAGCAGUAGGGAAUCUUCCGCAAUGGGCGAAAGCCUGACGGAGCGACGCCGCGUGAGUGAUGAAGGUCUUCGGAUCGUAAAACUCUGUUAUUAGGGAAGAACAAACGUGUAAGUAACUGUGCACGUCUUGACGGUACCUAAUCAGAAAGCCACGGCUAACUACGUG
rnacentral:rRNA from 1 species